UGGCGGACGGGUGAGUAAUGUCUGGGAAACUGCCUGAUGGAGGGGGAUAACUACUGGAAACGGUAACUAAUACCGCAUAACGUCGCAAGACCAAAGAGGGGGACCUUCGGGCCUCUUGCCAUCAGAUGUGCCCAGAUGGGAUUAGCUAGUAGGUGGGGUAACGGCUCACCUAGGCGACGAUCCCUAGCUGGUCUGAGAGGAUGACCAGCCACACUGGAACUGAGACACGGUCCAGACUCCUACGGGAGGCAGCAGUGGGGAAUAUUGCACAAUGGGCGCAAGCCUGAUGCAGCCAUGCCGCGUGUAUGAAGAAGGCCUUCGGGUUGUAAAGUACUUUCAGCGGGGAGGAAGGUGUUGUGGUUAAUAACCGCAGCAAUUGACGUUACCCGCAGAAGAAGCACCGGCUAACUCCGUGCCAGCAGCCGCGGUAAUACGGAGGGUGCAAGCGUUAAUCGGAAUUACUGGGCGUAAAGCGCACGCAGGCGGUCUGUCAAGUCGGAUGUGAAAUCCCCGGGCUCAACCUGGGAACUGCAUUCGAAACUGGCAGGCUGGAGUCUUGUAGAGGGGGGUAGAAUUC
rnacentral:rRNA from 1 species